rnacentral:tRNA from 1 species
ACACACCUAGCUACCUACUUAUCUACCUAUCAUUUACAUUUGAAUUGCUAGUAUUCUAAAAAAAAAACCCAAGAGUUUCCUUCUCGCUAAGGUGCGGUAGCAGAGCUCAAGAACCGGAGGCACCAUCGGACUGUCUGGGCGACCAGCAUUCCCAGGACGCCGACGUGCUGCGGAGCCUCCUGGGAAGUGUAGUUUAGACGUACCUUCCUCUUGCGCACGCGCAGCCCACUGGCGCUCUGGUGGGGUGUCCUCUUUGUCUUUGCCUCCGCGCUCGAGCCCGUAUGCGCGUGCCCGAGGUCGUGUGCGCGCGGUUCCCCUGCGCUACUGGGGCCUGUCGUCGGUAUCCCGCGGGUUCGCCCGGAUCGCGCAAAGGCCGGGGGCGGGGCUGUCACGUGGCCCCCUGUCCCGGGCGUCUGCCGUCCGAGGCCGUUUUUGCAGAGCCUGAUCUGAGUGGGAACUGCAGAUGAUGAUGAAGGUGCCCCUCCCUCCUGAAGGUACUGUGAGAGCACUGUCACAGGGAGCACCGUGUGGCUGAGCAGGAACCUGCCCAGGUAAGGACACACCAAUGUUGUUGAAAUGGGCCAGACUGUGCAGUGAAGGGCUUAGGCUAUCAUUGGCUGGAGGGACAUGUGAGUCAAGUAUAAGAGUGAUGGGCGGGGCGGGGGGGGGAUUUCUCCCUCAAGAGCCAACUUGCAAAAACAGUUGGUUAAAGUAAAGUAAGGUUGAAGCUAUAUUGUUCUGAGUCACAAACUUAAAUAUCAGAAAUAUUUAUUUAUUUAUUUUGGCCAUGCCUGUAGCAUGCAGAAUUUCCUGGGCAAGGAUUGAACCUGUGCCACAGCAGGGACCUGAGUCACAGCACUGACAACACUGGAUUCUUAAUCCACUGAGCCACCAGGAACUCCCUCAGAACUUUUUUUUUCCUUCCCCAUCCCCCGAGGCAUUUGGCUUUCUUGGGCCAGGGGUCAGAUGUUUAAUCCUUUUUUUUUUUGUCUUUUUAGGGCCACACCUGUGACACAUGGAGGUUCCCAGGCUAGCAGUUGAAUCAGAGCCAGAUCUGAGUUGCGCCUGUGACCUACACCACAGCUCACAGGCAACACCAGAUCCUUAACCCACUGAGCGAGGCGAGGGAUUGAACCCACAAUCUCGUGGUUCCUAGUUGGAUUCAUUUCCGUUGCACCACGAUGGGAACCCCCAUAAUCCUUUAACUCACUGUGCUGGACUGGGGCAUCUUUGUCCUGGUCCUGCAGAGUUGCCGCUGAUCCCAUUGCUGCACAGCGGGAACUCCAGAAAUAUUUCAGAACUCCCAUGUUGAUGGCUUGUCUCACUCUGUCCACCUGAAAUUCCCAAGUCUGUGUGUUCAAUCCCUCGCCUCGCUCAGUGGGUUAAGGAUCUGGUGUUGCC